rnacentral:rRNA from 1 species
GUACACACCGCCCGUCACACCAUGGGAGUGUAUUGUACCAGAAGCAGAUAGCCUAACCGCAAGGAGGGCGUCUACCACGGUAUGGUCCAUGACUGGGGUGAAGUCGUAACAAGGUUUCCGUAGGUGAACCUGCAGAAGGAUCA